UACGUAGGUGGCAAGCGUUGUCCGGAUUUACUGGGCGUAAAGGGCGUGCAGGCGGUCUGUUAAGUUCAGGGUGAAAGCUCCCGGCUCAACUGGGAGAGGUCCUUGGAUACUGGCAGACUUGAGGAGGGUAGAGGAGAGUGGAAUUCCCGGUGUAGUGGUGAUAUGCGUAGAUAUCGGGAGGAACACCAGUGGCGAAGGCGGCUCUCUGGGCCCUACCUGACGCUGAGACGCGAAAGCUAGGGGAGCAAACAGG
rnacentral:rRNA from 1 species